rnacentral:rRNA from 1 species
AACGAACGCUGGCGGCAGGCCUAACACAUGCAAGUCGAACGCCCUAGCAAUAGGGAGUGGCAGACGGGUGAGUAACGCGUGGGAACCUUCCCUAUAGUACGGAAUAUACCAGGGAAACUUGGAGCAAUACCGUAUACGCCCGAAAGGGGAAAGAUUUAUCGCUAUAGGAUGGGCCCGCGUAGGAUUAGCUAGUUGGUGAGGUAAUGGCUCACCAAGGCGACGAUCCUUAGCUGGUCUGAGAGGAUGAUCAGCCACACUGGGACUGAGACACGGCCCAGACUCCUACGGGAGGCAGCAGUGGGGAAUAUUGGGCAAUGGGCGAAAGCCUGACCCAGCCAUGCCGCGUGAGUGACGAAGGCCUUAGGGUUGUAAAGCUCUUUUGGCGGGGACGAUAAUGACGGUACCCGCAG